rnacentral:tRNA from 1 species
GGAUAGCUCAGUCAGUAGAACAUGAGACUCUUAAUCUCAGGAUUGUGGGUUCAAGCCCCACACUGAGCCG